GAUGAAGAACGUAGCGAAAUGCGAUAAGUAAUGUGAAUUGCAGAAUUCAGUGAAUCAUCGAAUCUUUGAACGCACAUUCCGCCCCUUGGUAUUCCGAGGGGCAUGCCUGUUCGAGCGUCAUUAUAACCCCUCAAGCUCAGCUUGGUGUUGGGGCCUGCUGCACUGGCAGCCCUUAAAAUCAGUGGCGGCGCCAUCUGGCUCUAAGCGUAGUAAUUCUUCUCGCUAUGGAGUCCUGGUGGAUGCUUGCCAUCAACCCCCAAUUUUUCUAUGGUUGACCUCGGAUCAGGUAGGGAUACCCGCUGAACUUAAGCAUAUCAAUAAGCGGAGGA
rnacentral:misc_RNA from 1 species